rnacentral:lncRNA from 1 species
AGAGAGAAAUAGCUGGAGCCACCAUGGCUGAGCACAGUCCACACUGCUGAGAGGUACCCAGGUGACUUCCGGUUCAAAUGAGUGCAAACCUAAGCACACUUUUGGGGUACUAUAAAGAAGAGGGAGCGGGGGUAUCCACAGGCACCCAGGGGCCAACUCCACAAAUGGUCCUAAUUCUACCUGGGACACACUGCACAUCUCAAAUAGAAUGGAUGGGAGAUGUGGCUCAGCGGAAGAGCUGGGAAGAGCACAGGGGAUAAGAGCUCUGGGUUGCUCUCAGGCUCUCUCACACAGCACAAUGCGGACAAGAAAGGACAACAUACCCAGACGGCUGUCCUGGGUAUCAUGAGAUGAGCUAGCAGUGCUCACAGGGGGGCCUUGUAACUGAAGACAGGGUCCACAGUUGGGACUUCCACCUGUGCCAAAACAUUGAUUUCUUGGGUGGAUAUCCUAAUACCCUCAUUUUCUCUGCUGACUUUAUCAUGUCUUUCCCUAAAUAAAUACUACAUUGCAGUUUUGUCC